AGGCGGGGCUUCAAUGCUCCUAUAUAGGCCGGGCCCACUGAGAGGCGGCGUCAUUCAACAGCUGCUCCUUAGAAUGGUCUGCUGAUCUUCUGUCUUGGUACCAACUUGCUCACCCCGAAACUUUUGGCCUCAACAAACCAGGGCACUGGAUCCAACAAACUGGCCACAAGAGUGAAAAAGCAAGAAAAUGAUGAUGAGGUACGAGAUGGAUGCCCUGGAGAGGGAGUGCCGAUGCCCAGCACGGUCCACUGGUCAUGCAGAGGCAGGGGUUUCUGAUGAAGAGGUAAUCAAGGUGGAUUACCAUCUCAACAGAAACCAUUUCCUGUGAGUUAUAUCCCAGACUGUGGACAUGAUGUGAGAUGAAAGAAAGCAAUUUCUGGGCAAAAGAUGUUUUUGUUUUUUCCCUCCAACCCUAGUCUCUGUGUGCUAAUUUUGGUGUCCCAGGCUUGGGUGUGCUGUGAAGGUCACAGCUACAGAACAUCAAUUAGGCAUCCCUGUGUUUGGAGUAAAAAAAAAAUCCUCCCUCUCUGAUUGCUGGUCACAAGUCAGCAAAACUACAGUCAAAAAGGAAACAGGACAACUCCUUCCAGCUACCCUGCAGAACCAAGAAUCUCCAAACCCACUGCUCAACUGCCAAAGUCAGCUCUACUGGAAUCACAGCUUAACAGCCACAACGUUUCGCCAUCUAGUUCUCACGGACAAGCCAAAGACUGAUUUGUAUAUCUUGUUUUUAACCUUUAUUUCCGAACUCACUUCUCAUUUCUAAUCUGUGUGUAUGUGUGUUGCGUUUUUAUUAUUUUUUUCUUGCAUUUUAGUAACUAAUAAAGUCACUCUUUCUUUGACUCAAAAAAGCCUGAUUAACUUGGCUCCUUUCAAAAUAUAAAUACAUCUGGACUGGGAAAAGGUAUCCACAAGGGCAGGGAUCCUUUUUAAAUUAGCCUUAUUGCGACCAACGGAGGGGGUUGAAUAAAGAGGAGCCAGUUCAUCCUUCCUCACCUGGGAGCACAACAAUUUGGGGUACCUCAUCCAGGGUCAUAACAAAUUGGGGGAACCUCACAUGGGAGUCAGUCAUAACAAGACGGAAGCAAAUGUCGUGUUCUUCUUUCAGUUUCAUUUCCCCUGUUAAAAAUGGAGAAAAAAUACUAACCAUGGAUAGAAAAUUGGUUGAAAUGUUGUGUGUCCAAAAUAGCCGGAGCAUACCAAGCAUGCAUCAGAGGAUGAAGCAAGUUGUGGCCCCUAUU